GACGAACGCUGGCGGCGUGCUUAACACAUGCAAGUCGAACGGAAAGGCCCUGCUUUUGUGGGGUGCGCGAGUGGCGAACGGGUGAGUAACACGUGAGUAACCUGCCCUUGACUUUGGGAUAACUUCAGGAAACUGGGGCUAAUACCGGAUAGGAGCUCCUGCUGCAUGGUGGGGGUUGGAAAGUUUCGGCGGUUGGUGAUGGACUCGCGGCUUAUCAGCUUGUUGGUGGGGUAGUGGCUUACCAAGGCUUUGACGGGUAGCCGGCCUGAGAGGGUGACCGGACACAUUGGGACUGAGAUACGGCCCAGACUCCUACGGGAGGCAGCAGUGGGGAAUAUUGCACAAUGGGCGGAAGCCUGAUGCAGCAACGCCGCGUGCGGGAUGACGGCAUUCGGGUUGUAAACCGCUUCCGCCUGUGACGAAGCGUGAGUGACGGUAAUGGGUAAAGAAGCACCGGCUAACUACGUG
rnacentral:rRNA from 1 species